UACGAAGGGGACUAGCGUUGUUCGGAAUUACUGGGCGUAAAGCGCACGUAGGCGGAUUUGUUAGUCAGGGGUGAAAUCCCGGGGCUCAACCUCGGAACUGCCUUUGAUACUGCAAAUCUCGAGUCCGAUAGAGGUGGGUGGAAUUCCUAGUGUAGAGGUGAAAUUCGUAGAUAUUAGGAAGAACACCGGUGGCGAAGGCGGCCCACUGGAUCGGUACUGACGCUAAGGUGCGAAAGCGUGGGGAGCAAACAGG
rnacentral:rRNA from 1 species